GGGGCCAUAGCUCAGCUGGGAGAGCGCUACGAUGGCAUUGUAGAGGUCGGGGGUUCGAUCCCCCCUGGCUCCACCA
rnacentral:tRNA from 1 species